rnacentral:rRNA from 1 species
CCUACGGGACGCAGCAGUAGGGAAUUUUCGUCAAUGGGCGCAAGCCUGAACGAGCAAUGCCGCGUGAACGAGGAAGGUCUUCGGAUCGUAAAGUUCUGUUGAAGGGGAAAAAGAGCGGAGAGAGGAAAUGGUCUCCGAUUGAUAUUACCCUUCGAGGAAGUCACGGCUAACUACGUGCCAGCAGCCGCGGUAAUACGUAGGUGGCGAGCGUUAUCCGGAAUGAUUGGGCGUAAAGGUGGCGUAGGCGGCCUGCUAAGUCUGGAGUGAAAGUGACCGGCUCAACCGGGACAGGCACUGGAAACUGG